rnacentral:tRNA from 1 species
GGAAAGGUCGCCAUAGGUAGGGCAAGCUGUUUGCUAAACAGUAUCUCAUAUAGAUUUAGUGGUUCAAAUCCGCUUCUUUCCG